rnacentral:rRNA from 1 species
AAGCCUGAUCCAGCAAUACCGAGUGAGUGAUGAAGGCCUUAGGGUUGUAAAGCUCUUUUAGCAAGGAAGAUAAUGACGUUACUUGCAGAAAAAGCCCCGGCUAACUCCGUGCCAGCAGCCGCGGUAAGACGGAGGGGGCUAGCGUUGUUCGGAAUUACUGGGCGUAAAGAGUGCGUAGGCGGUUUAGUAAGUUGGAAGUGAAAGCCCGGGGCUUAACCUCGGAAUUGCUUUCAAAACUACUAAUCUAGAGUGUAGUAAGGGAUG